rnacentral:rRNA from 1 species
UACAGAGGUCUCAAGCGUUGUUCGGAUUCAUUGGGCGUAAAGGGUGCGUAGGUGGCGCCAUAAGUCAGGUGUGAAAUCUCGGGGCUCAACCCCGAAACUGCACUUGAUACUGUGGUGCUGGAGUACUGGAGAGGAGAUUGGAAUUUACGGUGUAGCAGUGAAAUGCGUAGAGAUGUGGAGGAACACCAGUGGCGAAGGCGACUCUUUGGCCUGUAACUGACGCUGAGGCGCGAAAGCGUGGGGAGCAAACAGG